AAAUUUUUCUUUCUUCUUUCUGGACUCUUUAAAGAAGUACAAGUAUUUGAGGAUAUAAUAUCUUUGCUUUUUAAAAGAAAGUUUGUUUAUACUCUCUAAGGCAGGAAAGUGGGCUCAAAGUUUUGGAUAAUGUUCGAAUAUGAGAAUUCAGAGUAAAGUUGUUUUCUUAAUAAACAAAAUAGUCCAAUUAUUUGAAGUCUUUCAUUUCCUAAGUGUUCUGAUGAGUCAUGGUUUUGACUGUAGCAAGUCAAACGAAGAGUGUAGACUGCUGACAGGGACCAUGGACUUUCCCAUGCUGACAUGGUAGGGACAGUGUCAGUGCUCGGACGUUCCCAUGCUGGGCUGUCCUUAUAAAGGAUAGUUUUCAAAUGUCCUUCACGUCAGAUUAACUUUAUUUGACCCUUCUCAAAGAGAUACUAAGAAGCAUAUAGAGGUUGAGAUAAUUGUAUUAAUAUUGACAUUAUGUUGCUUGAUUCAUCUGAAAUUUGAAUGUGUUGAGAAUCU
rnacentral:lncRNA from 1 species